rnacentral:rRNA from 1 species
GCGACCCCAGGACAGGCGAGG